rnacentral:rRNA from 1 species
UCGAGUGACACUGCGCCGAAAAUGUACCGGGGCUAAACAUAUUACCGAAGCUGUGGAUUGUCCUUUGGACAAUGGUAGGAGAGCGUUCUAAGGGCGUCGAAGCAUGAUCGCAAGGACAUGUGGAGCGCUUAGAAGUGAGAAUGCCGGUGUGAGUAGCGAAAGACGGGUGAGAAUCCCGUCCACCGAUUGACUAAGGUUUCCAGAGGAAGGCUCGUCCGCUCUGGGUUAGUCGGGUCCUAAGCUGAGGCCGACAGGCGUAGGCGAUGGAUAACAGGUUGAUAUUCCUGUACCACCUAGUAUCGUUUUAAUCGAUGGGGGGACGCAGUAGGAUAGGCGAAGCGUGCUGUUGGAGUGCACGUCCAAGCAGUAAGGCUGAGUGUUAGGCAAAUCCGGCACUCAUAAGGCUGAGCUGUGAUGGGGAGAGGAAAUUGUUUCCUCGAGUCGUUGAUUUCACACUGCCGAGAAAAGCCUCUAGAUAGAUAACAGGUGCCCGUACCGCAAACCGACACAGGUAGUCAAGAUGAGAAUUCUAAGGUGAGCGAGCGAACUCUCGUUAAGGAACUCGGCAAAAUGACCCCGUAACUUCGGGAGAAGGGGUGCUCUUUAGGGUUCACGCCCAGAAGAGCCGCAGUGAAUAGGCCCAAGCGACUGUUUAUCAAAAACACAGGUCUCUGCUAAACCGUAAGGUGAUGUAUAGGGGCUGACGCCUGCCCGGUGCUGGAAGGUUAAGAGGAGUGGUUAGCUUCUGCGAAGCUACGAAUCGAAGCCCCAGUAAACGGCGGCCGUAACUAUAACGGUCCUAAGGUAGCGAAAUUCCUUGUCGGGUAAGUUCCGACCCGCACGAAAGGCGUAACGAUUUGGGCACUGUCUCAACGAGAGACUCGGUGAAAUCAUAGUACCUGUGAAGAUGCAGGUUACCCGCGACAGGACGGAAAGACCCCGUGGAGCUUUACUGUAGCCUGAUAUUGAAAUUCGGCACAGCUUGUACAGGAUAGGUAGGAGCCUUUGAAACGUGAGCGCUAGCUUACGUGGAGGCGUUGGUGGGAUACUACCCUAGCUGUGUUGGCUUUCUAACCCGCACCACUUAUCGUGGUGGGAGACAGUGUCAGGCGGGCAGUUUGACUGGGGCGGUCGCCUCCUAAAAGGUAACGGAGGCGCUCAAAGGUUCCCUCAGAAUGGUUGGAAAUCAUUCAUAGAGUGUAAAGGCAUAAGGGAGCUUGACUGCGAGACCUACAAGUCGAGCAGGGUCGAAAGACGGACUUAGUGAUCCGGUGGUUCCGCAUGGAAGGGCCAUCGCUCAACGGAUAAAAGCUACCCCGGGGAUAACAGGCUUAUCUCCCCCAAGAGUUCACAUCGACGGGGAGGUUUGGCACCUCGAUGUCGGCUCAUCGCAUCCUGGGGCUGUAGUCGGUCCCAAGGGUUGGGCUGUUCGCCCAUUAAAGCGGUACGCUAGCUGGGUUCAGAACGUCGUGAGACAGUUCGGUCCCUAUCCGUCGUGGGCGUAGGAAAUUUGAGAGGAGCUGUCCUUAGUACGAGAGGACCGGGAUGGACAUACCUCUGGUGUACCAGUUGUCGUGCCAACGGCAUAGCUGGGUAGCUAUGUAUGGACGGGAUAAGUGCUGAAAGCAUCUAAGCAUGAAGCCCCCCUCAAGAUGAGAUUUCCCAACUUCGGUUAUAAGAUCCCUCGAAGAUGACGAGGUUAAUAGGUUCGAGGUGGAAGCGUGGUGACACGUGGAGCUGACGAAUACUAAUCGAUCGAAGACUUAAUCAAUUUUUAAA